rnacentral:misc_RNA from 1 species
UGGUUCUGGCAUCGAUGAAGAACGCAGCGAAAUGCGAAAAGUAAUGUGAAUUGCAGAAUUCAGUGAAUCAUCGAAUCUUUGAACGCACAUUGCGCCCGCCAGUAUUCUGGCGGGCAUGCCUGUCUGAGCGUCAUUUCAACCCUCAAGCCUCUCCGGGCUUGGUGUUGGGGAUCGGCCCGCCCCUGUGUGGGGAGUGCCGGCCCCGAAAUCUAGUGGCGGACCCGCUGCGGCGUCCUCUGCGUAGUACAACAUGCCUCGCAGGCGGACAGCGGCGAGCUCCUGCCGUCAAAACCCCCCAACUUCUCAUGGUUGACCUCAGAUCAGGUAGGAAUACCCGCUGA